CCUAGAUGUUUAUUCUUUUCAACACAACUCCAGUGCAAGGAACUGGGAAUUUAAAAUGUGCAUCCAACUAAUGUCUGAAUACAGAAAGCCAUUGAGCUGGAUCCAAAGGUUCAUUUCCUCAGAGGAAGGAGUCCUUAUGUUGGAAUAAUAUUCUUUUAGGAGAAAGAGAACUGUUACAACCAACACAUAGGACCCAUGAACUUCUAAGAAAUUUCUUCCUUCCAUUUAUCAAGCUCUGCACAUCCCAAGAAGACAACUCAGCCCACUGGAUUACUCAUAAAACACUAACUUGAGCAAUAAUCAACUCCUAAAGGGGGACUUCAUAGUCAAAACAAUAUCUACAGUUCAGUCAAAUUUGCUAUGAACCACACCGCCCAUUGAGAUAAUCAGGAGAGGUUUGUCUGCAGUUGCCACAGGCUCGUCUGGUGACUACUCAGGGACGGGCCUUCUCCAUUGCUUCCCCCGAGGCUUUGGAACACACUUCCUGCUGAAAUAAGAGCCUCCCCAUCUCUUACAACUUUUAAAAGGGCAGUCACAACGCAUUUGUUCACCCAGGCUUUUAAUUAGAUACUGUUUUAAUUGUGUUUUAAUAGUUUUAACUUUAAAAAUUGUAAUUGUUGAAAUGUUUCAAUCUUUUUAUUGGUUGUUUUUAUUUUCUUGUAAAUCACCCAGAGAACUUGUGUUUUGGGCAGUAUAAAAAUAUGUUAAAUAAAUAAAUACAUACAUACAUACAUA